UACGAAGGGGGCUAGCGUUGCUCGGAAUCACUGGGCGUAAAGCGCACGUAGGCGGCUUGUUAAGUCAGGGGUGAAAUCCUGGAGCUCAACUCCAGAACUGCCUUUGAUACUGGCGAGCUUGAGUUCGGGAGAGGUGAGUGGAACUGCGAGUGUAGAGGUGAAAUUCGUAGAUAUUCGCAAGAACACCAGUGGCGAAGGCGGCGACCUGGAUAGAUACUGACGCUGAGGUGCGAAAGCGUGGGGAGCAAACAGG
rnacentral:rRNA from 1 species